GGACACAUUCAUGAGAAACAAGCUGUUGAAGAAGGAAUUUAUCUAAAAGAUUGGCUCCAGGUGAAAGGAUUCAAAAAGAACGUCACUAUGGAUGCCCAGACUGCUCACCUUGCUUUUAAUGUGAGUGAUGAAGGAAAAAAGGCUCAGUACAGCACAGGAGAAGCUAACAAUUCCUCAAACAAGCAUCCCCAUGUGUUGGGUAAAGAGCGUUUAAUCUCUGGACAGCACUACUGGGAAGUGAAGAUGGGGGAUAAUUGUACAGAAAAGCUGUCAUGGUAUAUCGGUGUGGCCAGAGAAAAUGCUCCGAGAAAAUCUACCAUUCCUUUAACUCCUCAGUAUGGUUUCUGGAUUUUAUUUUAUGAAAAAGGAAGAGGUUUCCAUGUAAAAACAACUAACCCGCCAAAACAAAUAACUGUGGCAGAAUAUCUUUCUAUAGUAGGAGUGUUUCUAGACAGUGACAGACAAACUUUGUCUUUUUAUAAUGUUGAGACAAAGUCACAUCUCUACACUUUUAGUGAUGUGGUAUCAAACUGCUUUCUCCCUGUGUUCAGCCCUGGAAAAAGUGAUAAACAUGUUAUGAUAAUAUGUUGAAUAAAUACUAAGAUAUGAAGGUUAAAACACGACAAAGGAGGCAUACUGUAGGCAAUGUAUUUUAAAUUAGGCCAACACUACAACUACGGUAUGUUUAAUAUGAGGCAGCUGUAGGAACACAUGGCUAGGGUAUAAUUUUGACUGAAAUGUUAUUCAGGGAUGCUCAGUUCAACACACACAC